rnacentral:rRNA from 1 species
CCGAACGGAUCGCGUUGACUUCGGUCUGCGACGGAUCAUUCAAGCUUUUCUGACCUAUCAGCUUUCGACGGUACUGUAUUGGACUACCGUGGCAGUGACGGGUAACGGGGAAUUAGGGUUCGAUUCCGGAGAGGGAGCCUGAGAAACGGCUACCACAUCUAAGGAAGGCAGCAGGCGCGCAAAUUACCCAAUCCUGAUUCAGGGAGGUAGUGACAAGAAAUAACAACACUGGAAAUUUCAUUUCUAGUGAUUGGAAUGAUAGGAAUCCAAACCCCUUUCAGAGUAACAAUUGGAGGGCAAGUCUGGUGCCAGCAGCCGCGGUAAUUCCAGCUCCAAUAGCGUAUAUUAAAGUUGUUGCAGUUAAAAAGCUCGUAGUUGGAUUUCUGCUGGAAGCAGCCAGUCCGCCCUCAGGGGUGUGCACUUGGUGAAUUCUAGCAUCCUUCUGGAUUUCUCCACACUUCAUUGUGUGGAGUUUUUUCCAGGACUUUUACUUUGAGAAAAUUAGAGUGUUUCAAGCAGGCUUGUCGCCUUGAAUACUGCAGCAUGGAAUAAUAAGAUAGGAUUUCGGCCCUAUUUUGUUGGUUUCUAGGACUGAAGUAAUGAUUAAUAGGGACGGUUGGGGGCAUUCGUAUUUAACUGUCAGAGGUGAAAUUCUUAGAUUUGUUAAAGACGAACUACUGCGAAAGCAUUUGCCAAAGAUGUUUUCAUUAAUCAAGAACGAAAGUUAGGGGCUCGAAGACGAUCAGAUACCGUCGUAGUCUUAACCAUAAACUAUGCUCGACUAGAGAUAGGAAAACGUCAUGCUUGACUUCUCCUGCACUAAA